CAUAUCAGUAAGCGGAGGAAAAGAAACUAACCAGGAUUCUCCCAGUAACGGCGAGUGAACGGAGAUUAGCCCAGCACCGAAGCCUAUCUGCAUUUGUGGACAAGGCAAUGUGGUGUUUAGGCAUGCACCUUGGAGCCAUUCGUCUACUCGAAGUCCAACUCCGAUUAUGGCAUUGGAUGUGUCCCUUAGCGGGUGAUAGGCCCGUGCGAGUAGACUUGCCGUAUCAGAAUGGUUCCUUGCUGUGUGUGUCUUGGAGUCGGAUUGCUUGAGAAUGCAGUCCAAAGCGGGUGGUAAACUCCAUCCAAGGCUAAAUACUGGCACGAGUCCGAUAGUAAACAAGUACCGUGAGGGAAAGUUGAAAAGUACUCUGAAGAGAGAGUAAAUAGUACGUGAAGCCGCUUGUAGAGAAGCUGGUGGAGUCAAGCUCCAUGCCGGGAUGAUUAACAACGAGAGAGUGUGCAGUGUUCAGGCUCAUUGAGUUGGUGGAUCUGGAAACGGUCCGGUGGAUUCAUCUCCACUGUGAGCUAUCCGGUGAGUUGCCUUAUGCCAGCCAUGUGAGUCUCUCUCUUGUGUUCUAUCACUCGGCAGCCACCAUGGUUGAUGCCUUGUCUGGUGUGCGAUCGCUACACUGGCCUACGUGGGCUUAAUGCUUGCUGGGCUCAGGAUGGCGGGUGGUGUCCUGGCUUGCUAGCCAAGUCUGUGACACACGUAAUGGUAUAUCCUGCCGGCGAUCGUGUUGCAUGCUACUAUGCAUUCUGGUAUCAUUCUAUCAGCAGUCGUGUCCGCCUCAAAUGGUAGCGGCUGUGAGAAUCAUGGUGUUGGAGUAGAUUUUCCACCCGACCCGUCUUGAAACACGGACCAAGGAGUUUAACAUGUGCGCAAGUCAAUGGGCAUACUACGAAACCCAGAGGCGUAAUGAAAGUGAACGGUCACUUCUCGUGGCCUGAGGUGUGAUCCCGGUUGACCGACACAAAGGCUGCUGGGCGCAACACCGGCCCGUCUCAAGAUGUAGUCAUUGGGGCUACGGCUCUGGUGCAUCAUCGAGGCGGAGCAAGAGCGUACAUGUUGAGACCCGAAAGAUGGUGAACUAUGCUUGCGUAGGUCGAAGCCAGAGGAAACUCUGGUGGAGGACCGUCGCGGUUUUGACGUGCAAAUCGAUCGUCAAACGUGAGCAUAGGGGCGAAAGACUAAUCGAACCAUCUAGUAGCUGGUUCCCUCCGAAGUUUCCCUCAGGAUAGCUGGCAAUCGUCUCGCUGAACAGUUUUAUCCGAUAAAGCGAAUGAUUAGAGGUAUUGGGAACUAAUUGUUCUCAACCUAUUCUCAAACUAUAAAUGGGUACGAUGCUGCACUCGCUUAAUUGGAGUGUUGCAUUGAAUGUGAUUGCCAAGUGGGCCAUUUUUGGUAAGCAGAACUGGCGCUGUGGGAUGCUCCGAACGUUCAGUUAAGGUGCCCAAUGCGGACGCUCAUGAGACACCAAAAAAGGUGUUAAUGCAUUAAGACAGCAGGACGGUGGCCAUGAAAGUCGGAAUCCGCUAAGGAGUGUGUAACAACUCACCUGCCGAAUGCAUUAGCCCU
rnacentral:rRNA from 1 species